AGAACGAACGCUGGCGGCAGGCUUAACACAUGCAAGUCGAGCGCCCCGCAAGGGGAGCGGCAGACGGGUGAGUAACGCGUGGGAAUCUACCCAACCCUACGGAAUAACACAGGGAAACUUGUGCUAAUACCGUAUACGCCCUACGGGGGAAAGAUUUAUCGGGGUUGGAUGAGCCCGCGUUGGAUUAGCUAGUUGGUGGGGUAAUGGCCUACCAAGGCGACGAUCCAUAGCUGGUCUGAGAGGAUGAUUAGCCACACUGGGCUGAGACACGGCCCAGACUCCUACGGGAGGCAGCAGUGGGGAAUAUUGGACAAUGGGCGAAAGCCUGAUCCAGCCAUGCCGCGUGAGUGAUGAAGGCCUUAGGGUUGUAAAGCUCUUUCAGUGGGAAGAUAAUGACGGUACCACAGAAGAAGCCCCGGCUAACGUUCGCGCCAGCAGCCGC
rnacentral:rRNA from 1 species